UACGAAGGGGGGCUAGCGUUGCUCGGAAUCACUGGGCGUAAAGCGCACGUAGGCGGCUUUCUAAGUCAGGGGUGAAAUCCUGGAGCUCAACUCCAGAACUGCCUUUGAUACUGGAGAGCUUGAGUCCGGGAGAGGUGAGUGGAACUCCGAGUGUAGAGGUGAAAUUCGUAGAUAUUCGGAAGAACACCAGUGGCGAAGGCGGCUCACUGGCCCCGGUACUGACGCUGAUGUGCGAAAGCAUGGGGAGCGAACAGG
rnacentral:rRNA from 1 species